UACGGGGGGGGCAAGCGUUGUUCGGAAUUACUGGGCGUAAAGGGCUCGUAGGUGGCCAACUAAGUCAUACGUGAAAUCCCUCGGCUUAACCGGGGAACUGCGUCUGAUACUGGAUGGCUUGAGGUUGGGAGAGGGAUGCGGAAUUCCAGGUGUAGCGGUGAAAUGCGUAGAUAUCUGGAGGAACACCGGUGGCGAAGGCGGCAUCCUGGACCAAUUCUGACACUGAGGAGCGAAAGCCAGGGGAGCGAAACGGG
rnacentral:rRNA from 1 species